GCCUGCGCGGAAGAUGUAACGGGGCUAAACCAUGCACCGAAGCUGCGGCAGCGACACUAUGUGUUGUUGGGUAGGGGAGCGUUCUGUAAGCCUGUGAAGGUGUGCUGUGAGGCAUGCUGGAGGUAUCAGAAGUGCGAAUGCUGACAUAAGUAACGAUAAAGCGGGUGAAAAGCCCGCUCGCCGGAAGACCAAGGGUUCCUGUCCAACGUUAAUCGGGGCAGGGUGAGUCGACCCCUAAGGCGAGGCCGAAAGGCGUAGUCGAUGGGAAACAGGUUAAUAUUCCUGUACUUGGUGUUACUGCGAAGGGGGGACGGAGAAGGCUAUGUUGGCCGGGCGACGGUUGUCCCGGUUUAAGCGUGUAGGCUGGUUUUCCAGGCAAAUCCGGAAAAUCAAGGCUGAGGCGUGAUGACGAGGCACUACGGUGCUGAAGCAACAAAUGCCCUGCUUCCAGGAAAAGCCUCUAAGCAUCAGGUAACAUCAAAUCGUACCCCAAACCGACACAGGUGGUCAGGUAGAGAAUACCAAGGCGCUUGAG
rnacentral:rRNA from 1 species